AAUCGAAUGAGAUCUUGGAGGACUGAAGUGGAGAAGGGUUUCGUGUGAACAGUGGUUGAUCACGAGUUAGUCGGUCCUAAGUUUAAGGCGAAAGCCGUAAAAAUUUAAAGUUUUGCCCUUUGGUAAUAUAAAACACUUUAUAUUUAAUUAAACGAAAGGGAAUACGGUUCCAAUUCCGUAACCUGUUGAGUAUACGUUUGUAAUAAAUAUGGUCAUUAUGAUCAUCCUGGUAACAGAAACAAUCAUAGAGAAGCCGUCGAGAGGUAUCGGAAGAGUUUUCUUUUCUGUUUUAUAGUUGUAUUACCAUGGAAGUCUUUCGAAGAGAGAUAUGGUAAAUGAACUAGAAGAGCAUGGCAUUUACUGCUGUGUCGAUAUUUUCUCCUCGGACCUUGAAAAUCUAUGAUUGGGCCACGCAAACUUCUCAACAGGCCGUACCGAUAUCCGCAGCUGGUCUCCAAGGUGAAGAGUCUCUAGUCGAUAGAAUAAUGUAGGUAAGGGAAGUCGGCAAAUUAGAUCCGUAACUUCGGGAUAAGGAUUGGCUCUGAAGAUUGAGAUAAUCGGGCUUGAUUGGGAAACAAUAAAGUGGUGCAUGUACUCGUUCUGGAUAAAUAGAAUUUAAUAUGAAAUUACUUCAUAUUAUUUUUGUUCUCCGGAUAGAAGUUACAUAGCCAGUUGUGGAACAUUCUUGCUAAUAAUAUACUGGAUAAUAUUAUUUGAAAGAAUUUUAUUAUUUAUAUAUUUUAUAACGGUUAUCAAUUAACAAUCAAUUCAGAACUGGCACGGACUUGGGGAAUCCGACUGUCUAAUUAAAACAAAGCAUUGUGAUGGCCCUAGCGGGUGUUGACACAAUGUGAUUUCUGCCCAGUGCUCUGAAUGUCAAAGUGAAGAAAUUCAUUUAAGCGCGGGUUAACGGCGGGAGUAACUAUGACUCUCUUAAGGUAGCCAAAUGCCUCGUCAUCUAAUUAGUGACGCGCAUGAAUGG
rnacentral:rRNA from 1 species